AUUAUUGGGCGUAAAGGGUGCGUAGGUGGUUCGGCAAGUCUUGUGUGAAAUCUUCAGGCUCAACUUGAAGUCUGCACAAGAAACUGCCGGGCUUGAGUAUGGGAGAGGUGAGUGGAAUUUCCGGUGUAGCGGUGAAAUGCGUAGAUAUCGGAAGGAACACCUGUGGCGAAAGCGGCUCACUGGACCAUUACUGACACUGAGGCACGAAAGCUAGGGGAGCAAACAGGAUUAGAUACCCUGGUAGUCCUAGCCCUAAACGAUGAUCGCUUGGUGUGGCGGGUAUCCAACCCUGCCGUGCCGAAGCUAACGCGUUAAGCGAU
rnacentral:rRNA from 1 species